rnacentral:rRNA from 1 species
CCUACGGGAGGCAGCAGUGGGGAAUAUUGGACAAUGGGGGGAACCCUGAUCCAGCGACGCCGCGUGAGUGAAGAAGUAUUUCGGUAUGUAAAGCUCUAUCAGCAGGGAAGAAAAUGACGGUAUCUGACUUAGAAGCCCCGGCUAACUACGUGCCAGCAGCCGCGGUAAUACGUAGGGGUCAAGCGUUAUCCGGAUUUACUGGGUGUAAAGGGAGCGUAGACGGUGCAGCAAGUCUGAUGUGAAAGGUCGGGGCUCAACCCCGGGACUGCAUUGGAAACUGUUGAACUGGAGUACAGGAGAGGUAAGCGGAAUUCCUAGUGUAGCGGUGAAAUGCGUAGAUAUUAGGAGGAACACCAGUGGCGAAGGCGGCUUACUGGACUGUAACUGACGUUGAGGCUCGAAAGCGUGGGGAGCAAACAGGAUUAGAUACCCUGGUAGUC